GUCUACGGCCAUACCACCCUGAACGCGCCCGAUCUCGUCUGAUCUCGGAAGAUAAGCAAGGUCGGGCAUGGAUAGUACAUGGAUGGGAGACCGCCUGGGAAUACCGGGUACUGUAGGCU
rnacentral:rRNA from 1 species